AGAGUUUGAUCCUGGCUCAGGACGAACGCUGGCGGCGCGCCUAACACAUGCAAGUCGAACGAGCGAGAGAGAGCUUGCUUUCUCAAGCGAGUGGCGAACGGGUGAGUAACGCGUGAGGAACCUGCCUCAAAGAGGGGGACAACAGUUGGAAACGACUGCUAAUACCGCAUAAGCCCACGGGUCGGCAUCGACCAGAGGGAAAAGGAGCAAUCCGCUUUGAGAUGGCCUCGCGUCCGAUUAGCUAGUUGGUGAGGUAAUGGCCCACCAAGGCGACGAUCGGUAGCCGGACUGAGAGGUUGAACGGCCACAUUGGGACUGAGACACGGCCCAGACUCCUACGGGAGGCAGCAGUGGGGAAUAUUGCACAAUGGGGGAAACCCUGAUGCAGCGACGCCGCGUGGAGGAAGAAGGUCUUCGGAUUGUAAACUCCUGUUGUUGAGGAAGAUAAUGACGGUACUCAACAAGGAAGUGACGGCUAACUACGUGCCAGCAGCCGCGGUAAAACGUAGGUCACAAGCGUUGUCCGGAAUUACUGGGUGUAAAGGGAGCGCAGGCGGGAAGACAAGUUGGAAGUGAAAUCCAUGGGCUCAACCCAUGAACUGCUUUCAAAACUGUUUUUCUUGAGUAGUGCAGAGGUAGGCGGAAUUCCCGGUGUAGCGGUGGAAUGCGUAGAUAUCGGGAGGAACACCAGUGGCGAAGGCGGCCUACUGGGCACCAACUGACGCUGAGGCUCGAAAGUGUGGGUAGCAAACAGGAUUAGAUACCCUGGUAGUCCACACCGUAAACGAUGAUUACUAGGUGUUGGAGGAUUGACCCCUUCAGUGCCGCAGUUAACACAAUAAGUAAUCCACCUGGGGAGUACGACCGCAAGGUUGAAACUCAAAGGAAUUGACGGGGGCCCGCACAAGCAGUGGAGUAUGUGGUUUA
rnacentral:rRNA from 1 species